UGCUGCCGGGGCUGAGCACAGUCUCCUUGCUGCUUUCAGUGGGAGGGAGGGAGGGAUGCCCAUCAUUCAGCAGGAUCUAGCCCUCAAGGAGAGGUGGGAGCUGGGGAGGGGUGGCUGGGAAGGGGAGGGCUUUUUAAUAUGGUGCAUCAUUCACUGAGGAAGUCACAGGUGGCCUCAGCGUGUGGUAGGAUGCAGGAUUUGAUGGUCCAUCUUGCCUUGCAGAUGCCAAGCUCAUUUGUACCUAAACCUCAGGCACUGGUCUCGCUUCUGGCUGUACAGACAGACCUGACACACGGUCCUCCUUGUGCUAGGGUGUCAGCUCCUGUUCCAGAGAGCCUGUAACUGCAUCAGAGCCCGAGACCGUUGCUGGUUCCUUUGCAAAUCUAAAAGUGAAUGAAGCAGCAAUGAUUUUCUGGUUCCUGGGCUCCAUCCAACAGCCUUUCUUCCAGCUCGGGCCAAAGCCUCAACCCAGCCACAGGCAGAGGCAGUAGAAGCAGUCAGAAGAUCCAUGGAGACAGAAAGAGACGCCAGGAAUUCCGUAACACUUGUUGGCUCCAAAGUUAAUUGUCGAAGGCUGCAGGGUCAUCUCUGACGAAUAAAAAGCAAAUCCAGCUUCUUGGACACCGGUGGAAGCCACAGCCAAGCCUGUUUCGGAGUCUGCCGUGGGAGGGCAGUGAAUCCCCCCCGACCGCUUCUGCCUGCAUCGGGAGAUGCUCGGAGCGGGCUGUAGAGGUCCCCUCGCACCAGGAGAUGGCUGGGGCUGAGACGGGAAAGGGUCCUUUCUCCAAGGGGAAAGCAGAAGAGGUAAGUUUGACCUCAGCGUGAUAAGGGGCUGAGAUGCUUUUCCCAAAAGCCAGAUUUGAAAAGGUCCCGCUGCUGGACCAAAGCAAAGGAUACGAGAUGCUCACUGGGCAGACUGGGGAUGUGGGACUUUGCUGGCAGCUAAACUCUAACCCUCUCCAGACUCUGCCCAGGGCAGUGUGCUGGAGCUGAGAGCUCACUGUGCUGUGCACAGGGCUAUGGAUUGCUCCUGUGCGUGCACAUGUGCAAGGCUUGCAUGUGUGUCUGGGUGGUUUCAAGGAGCCUGGUUGAAGUUUAGGGCAUUAUAAAUGUCUGUCUUCAUGACCAGGACAUUAAAAUGUUUGCAUCUGGAAAGCAUCCCAGAGAGGGAGGUCUGGGGCAUGAAUGUGGUCUGAGAUCUCCACACUCUCCUCUUUCUCCAUUCAUACUCUGGUUUCCUGAACCCAUCAGAGGUCUUUAGGUGGAGAUUAUGACAGAUCCUGACACUCUCCAAAAGCCAAAAUGAGAAAUAUCCACAGACUGUUUACUUUUCUUUCUACCUAUUUUUGGGGUGGAAAUUGGGCAUUUCCCAAGCUUUCCCAAGUCACUGGCAUUCCCAUGAAGCCUGUUGCGUGGUGCUGACCCAGCUGAUGUGCCCAGCAAAUGCUGAGUGCUGAUGGUGGCUGGUUCCAGCACACACUGACAGCAGGAUCAAGCUCGUGGGUCUAGUGAAGAGGGGAAGGAAUGGGUGCCUUAAUAGGCACAGGACAUUGUGAAAUCCCAGCUCUGGGAAGGGUUUUCAGAGUUUACACCUUACUGGACACUGGAGGAGCCAAGCAGGAGGUGUAAGGUCUGUACAAAUCCAGCUUGUUCAGACUAGCUGCUCACAGGAUGCUCUUUGAAAUGCCUGUGGUUUCCUCUUUUACUAAUCUGCCUUCUGCUUUUCCCCCCUUACAGGUCAGGCAGAGGUUACAGGUUUCCUCUUCAUUUCUGAGGGUGAGAAAUGUGCAUUUUAUUUUAAACACUCUAUUGCAAAAAUCCCACAAGCUGGAGCUUGAGAACAGCACAAAGCUCGGUGUGAGUCUCACACUCCCCAGGGCUGGUGAUGCUGCAGCUCGUGGUGGUUUGAUGGGGCUGGUGUAUCCCCAAGGAGGUGAUUGCAGGGCCUGGGUGUUUCCUUUUUGAUCUGGUGAUGAAAUCCCACAUAAUGAGGAUGGUUGAUGCUGGAAAGCACCUCUGGAGAUCGUCUAAUCCAAUCCUCUGUUCAGCACAGGAGCAGCCAGAGGGGGUUGCUCAGGGCUGUGUCCACUUAAGUUUUGAUUAUCUCCAUGGAUGAAGACCCCCUCAACAGCUCUGCACAACCUGCUCCAGUGUGUUGUAUGUGUUGGAAUGUGUUUUACCCUUACAGUAAAAAAUAGAUCAAAAUUCACUUCCAUUUAAAGGGAAUUUCCUGUAGUUCAACUCACAGCUCUUGCCUCUUGUCCACUGGGCACCACUGGGAAGAGUCUGGCUCCAAUCACUUUAAGCUAGCCUGGCUGAAACUAAGAUGAAACAGUUGUUUGUAGGGAAAAUAAAAGCUAUUUUGGUUCCUUUGAAAUUAUUUACAACUUGAACCAAAGUUUGAAGUAAAAAAUACAAGAGUAUUUUGAAGAUGAAAAGCAUCAGGGCCUUGUUUGAGAUAUGCUUGAAAUUAAACACUUUAACAUUUUAUUACACUGUGACAUUCUCCAUUUGAAAUUUGCCUGCCUUUAAUUAAGAAAGCUGGGGACUGCAAGUGCCUUCAAACACGCAUUUGAACACAGAGAAAAGUUUUAUUUUGGGGAGAACAAAAUGUUUUCAUUGUCUCCACUUAAAGAAGAGAAAAAUAUUUUACUGUGGCAAAUAGAAUCAUAGAAAUCAGAGAAACAGGGAGGUUUCAUCCCGGGUUUAUCUAAAGAGAAAGAAUUUUUCUCUUCCUAACUUUUUGUGUGAUUUUCAAAGGAUAGAGCAGCUGUUUGCACCCGUGCUUCACCUCUGGGAAUCCACGAAGAAGAACUGGGUAAGGAGGGACAACAAUGGGAUCUGGUAGGUCUUUGAAAUGUGUCAGUGUUCAAGGCCAGGUUGGACACAGGGGCUUGGAGCAACCUGCUCUAGUGGAAGGUGUCCCUGCCCGUGGCAGGGGGUUGGAACUGGAUGAACCAUUCCAUGAUUCUGUGAUUGGACUGGACUCAUUCCUGUUGCACGACAGGAGUUGCUGUAGGUCUGGAUCCUCCUUUGCUUGGGAGUGUAUGGGACAGCUCAGUCUUGCCAUGGGCACGGUUGUACUUGAUGCUAUCAAGCUCAACUUGGUCUUGGCAAAGCUGAAGACCAUGGAAUAAACACAUGGAAGCCCGUACACCCUCUCCUUGCCGUGUCUUCCAGUUCUUGGGAGUUUUAUCUUCUCCAGUUGAGGUUUUUAUAGGAUAAUUGCUGGAGUUCCCAGUCCGGGGGCAGCAGUGCUGGAAGUCGUUACCAGCAAAAGCCUGUUUGGGCACUGAUAUGAAAUAAGUCAAUGUGUUGUGACGCACCUUUCACUGCUCUGAGGAUCUCUGCCCAUCCCUGUAGCAUCAGGCCCUUUGCCUCAGGGCUUUCCAGGUGUGGGAGAACCAGGUACUGCUAAAGAGUUGGCUCAAAGGGACAGGACCUGUGGUGGACCAGAGCUUGUUGGGUGCAGCCUCUGCAUCUCCACUGCUGCCUCCUGCGCUCUGGUUUUUGCAGGACAUUGGUGCUGCUCUGUGCUCUCACAGAGCCCAGAUCUGCAUGAGAUCCAGAGGUGUGAGUGUGAAUCCCAGGAGCUGCCAAGGGCAUGAGGAGAGUGGUGUGGAGAAGGAAGAAUCCAUUUAGGUGGGCACCAACUGCGCUGAUGAAGUUAUGCAUCUCCCAAGGGCUAAGGGAGGUAAGCACCCAAAUGUUCCUGGAAACCAAAGGCAUCACAAUUCCCAGCUGAGGCCAUGCUGGCAGCACCUUUCCUCCUCUCCUAUGAAGCUGAUGUCUUGACUGAUGUUGCUGGGGCCAAGCUAGGGGGAAUCGUCACCCGUGGGUCCCACCAGCCUCUGACCAUGGCAGUGGGGACAUGCAGGGGGAGAGUGGAAAGGAUGGCUCCUUCCCGGCCACAGGUUCCCCAUCCGAAAGCAGCGCCCUGUGGUAGAGCACAGCCUGGGCUGUGUGGGAUGUGGGUAACACACGUCUGCUCCGAGGAGGCUGCUGGGUUAUGGAGCCCCAAGGAAUUGGCUGGAAGGAGCCCCUGUGUGGGCAGAGGCGGCUGUCAGGAAUGCAUGGCCCAAACCCAGCAUCACAGCUGUUUGCUGAUGGGCCCCAUGGCUUUGUGUGGCUAUUGAACCUCUCCAGAGAGGCUCAGGAGGCCAAUCCAGCAGAGCCAGGGCUCCUAGGAGCGGUGGAGAGAGUUGCACCAGAUUACUUAUGGUGUAGCAUAGAGACCUGAGGAAGAGGCUGGCAUUUUCCUACUCAAAUCCUGGUAUAUUUAAGACACUUCAAUGUGAAAACGAUGCUUUUCUUUCUCAGGAGAUGGUUUGCAUGGUUAAAGCAUGUGGCUGUUCUGGUGGCCAGUCCUGCAGAGAGCCGGGCUGGGAGGAUGGUGCUGGCGCCAAGAGCCUUGCUGCAGGACCAGCCAUCCCUUCCAGAGAGCAACCUAUAGCUCCUGACACAUUCCCUGUGGAAAGAAGCAUAGCCCAAAGCAUGCCAGGCUGCUUCCUGCAUGCUCUUUGCAAGCCUGCAUGCUGCAAGGGAACUGGCACGUGUGCCUGGACCUCGGUGCCUGAGUGAUCCAUGAUGUCCUUGGGGACAGAGACACUCAUUAGUCCUGUAUAAACACUUGUCAUGUUGGACUGAGCUUUGUGAGACAGGUUUGUGAUGGGGAUAGAGCCUGGGGAAUAGAGACCUUGACUGACAGGUCGGGUUAAACUCCCUGACAGGCCUCAUUGCCUGCAGUGCUCUACAGCAGCUCCACUCUUGCUUGUGUGGAGGAGAACCAUGGCCAUCUCCUGUAGGAACCAUUCUCCAACCUCUUCCACUAGGGAAAUAUGUUUUGAGGUAGAAAAAAUUGAUGCUAAAGAAAGAAGGCAGGGGGUGGGGAUUGUUUCAUCCCCCACUUUAGGUUUUGAAGCCUUAGAUGAGGCCCAUGGACAAAAGCAUCUGGGAGAGAUUAUGGCCCUGACCUGGGGCUGGUGUUUAUACCAAACAAAACGUCUCAUGGUAAGAGGGCAUCGUGUGGCCUGACCUGCUCCACAGGGCUUGUUUACAUCUCACAAACACGAAAACUUCACCCACACUUUGACUCUUGUCAAAGGAGCCUGUGGAUGCUGAAAGUUUAUAUGGCUUUAAGAGGAGACUGGGCAAUUGCAAGUAGGAGAAAUUGCUGAGGGGUUACUAAGUACAUCUGGCUCAAGAGUUCCUCUGAGUUGGAAACAGCUGGAGACUGGGAAAGGACUUGGAAUAAUACCAUAGAUGUCUUGUUCUUGCAUGUCUCUGAGCAUCUUCUUAUGGUCACUGUUAGAAAGAAGCUAUGAGGGAAACGGAGCCCUUGGCCUGACAUGGUGGGACGGUCUGUGUGGGGACCUUGUUCCUUGUCUCCUGUUUGUAGGGUCAUUUUCUGCUGCUCUGGAAUCAGCUGCCUCUCCAGGGAGCUGAUGUUGGACUCUGCUGCUGGCUGAGCUGGGAACCAGGGAGGCUGGUUUUUGAAUGGGUGAACUGGAAGCCCAAACUGUUUCCAUCUCAACACUGAAUGAGAAGAAACGAAAGUCCUAUUCCUGCUUAGGUGCAGGGGGAGCAAGGGAGCUGGAUGCUGAGACUGACCCUUCCUCCAUCCCAUCCACUUCCUCUUUUCAACUCAGCCCCUUGUUCUCAUUAAUUUCUCUCCAAAUCUUCACUUGCAGCCAAACUGACCUCCCCUCUCCCUACAGUGCCGUUGCUCUUCUGCUUCUCCCCUUCCUUUGGUCUCCUGCAUCCUCCUCCCAACCUCCUCUGCCCCAAUUUCAUCCUCUGUAGGAAACAGCUCCCAGCCUGCCAGCAAAGCCUACAAAAACCAGCUUCUACAGAUUGCCAGUUCCUGGAGUUGUCGAGGAGGGGAAACUGAAGAAAACAAACAGAUGGGCCAUCAAAACCAACAUCAGUCAAGAAUGCAGCUUUCUGUCGCUGGCGAUGAGCUGACACCUACACUGAUGUCUCCAGGAAGGUUUUUCUCCUCUGCUUUAAAACAUAAAGUUCAGUUCUGCAUUAAGUUCUACAAUCAGAAUUGUUCGGCAGCAGGGGGAUGUCAUGGAUCAGCGGCAGAGAAAACAUCUCUCUCAUGCCUUUUGGGGAGGACUGAAGAUGAUUCAAAUGGAUGGACUGCAGGGAUUCAUGCAGAGGUUUAUGAUCUGCUUAGAAAUCCUUCCCCCCCAACCCAAAGAAACUGCACAUGGUGGAUUUGCAGGGUGAGCUCCGUGGCACAUUGUCUGCCAAGGAAGGCUUUGCACCUGCCUGGCUCUUGCAUCCAUCUCCACUUCAAAGCAGGCAAGCGCUCCAUCACCAGACGUCUCACAAGGAACGGGGCAGAGGUUGUCUGUCUUUUCAUCCUGGUGUACUUCAUCAACACCAACCACAUCCCCACCUGGGGUUUGUGUGGUUAGCACUAAGAUAAACUCCACAGUGCCUCGUCAUGGGGAUCUCACUGGGAGGUUUAGCUGCACAUAAAAGCACAGCCUGCUCCUCCAUGGAGGACGUGUCUUCAGUUACGCUUUGUGGGUCCUGCCUUAGGACCUUGCUCUGCUUCAGCUCUGUUUUAAGCCAGGUUUAGCUGGGCUUGUCCUGGUACCCAAUGCCACAGCCAUUGAGGAGCUGCCUUCUAAUUUCAGGUUGCACUUCUUAUGCCAAUUCCUUCCCCUGUGUAGGGGAGAAGGAACAUUGUGCCAGUGUUUGUCCAUAGCUUUGUUGACUUUUUUGCCCCUUCAGGGAAAGGAACUGAGAGCAUUCGGGUAGGGGCAGUUCACCCCAGCUGGAGUCACGGGGGCACAGCCUUGUCCUGACCCUCCCAGGACAGUGACUUUGGAGAAGUCAUUGAUGCUGGGUGCUUUUGGAGGCUUGAGACUGGGACAAUGUGACUUGGGAUCAGCUGGUGUGCUGGAGAGGAGUGGGAAUAGGAGAGGCUGCGGGGGUUUUCCAGGUCUGUGCUUGAUCACUUCUCAUCUUUGAUCUUGAUGGGGAGGUGGUGAUGAUGGGAACUGCCUGCAACCACUGGUGCUAAGUGAAAGCUUUCCUUUAAAGACACGUGUAAACUCCUGUUGCUUUUAGACACAGCCCAUCCAGAAGGUCCUUUAUUCUUGUAUUUAGUAUCUACUCAUAAACAUGUAUUAUUGCAGCUCUUCCCAAGCGAGCGCCUCAGCACAGCAAAUCUUCAAGUGGUGACAGGAACAUGAUUCAUCUUGCUACCAGUUCAUGCCCUGAUCAGUGGAGGACAUUUCUUGCUUUGGGAUCCCCAGGCUGUUGACAGCUGACAUCUAGGUACAUGCUGCCCCAGUGAAACACCCCAUGACCUUGACAUUGAUGUGUGAAGGGUUAAUAAGGGCUUUGCUCUGCCCUCCUGUCCCCAUCUGCUGAUUAAUUCCAGCCAGGUGUCUAUGGUUCAGGUCUUAAAACAACAAUUGCUGAAGUGUCUGGGAACAUUUAGUUAGGCUUCACUCUGCAAUUCCAAGUAUGGAUAAAUAUUUGCACCUCUGUGGCUGCAAGACACCUUUGAGAGAUGAAGGCAAUUACUGUAGGAGUUCUUUACAAGAGAAAAAGACUGAUUUCCUGGGGAGCAGUGGUGGUUCAGAGGAAGGCAGGGCUUUCAGAGGAAGGCAGGGCUUGUGGGCUCUCUCUGCAGCUCUCUCUGGGUGGUCUUAGGGAAGGUCUUGGGCAGCUGGAGGUUUGGUUUGGAAGGUUUUGGGUGCUGGAGGGGUUGUCAUCCUACAGCACAUCUGUAGGAAUCCCUACGCAUCAGGGAAUCCAAACAUGCUCCCACUGACUUUUGGCUUUACAAUUUCUCAGCCCUGGUUGCCCCCAGUGAUGCAUUUUACAUGGGAGAAUGAGGAGGAGAAAUGCAGAAUCCAGAUGCGUGUGCAAAGGCCCUUUCUUGAGGUACCCAGAGGAAAGGCCCUGUAUGGCUCAGCGAUCCCGGAGAAUAGGUUUCAUUUUGGUGAGUUCCUAUUUCCAUGUAGGUGUAGUCUAAUAGCUGUAGUGUUCUGCCUCUUUCCAUUCAAGAAACCAAUAGGUUUCAGCUGCAUCUUUGGGGAAAUAUGGAAUACAGCCCUGUGACUCUUCAUUCCUGGCUUUCAGCAGCGUGCCACCCUGUGAUGUGUGCAAGGGUGACAGAAAACAGUGUCUGCUUUCCAAUGAGGGCAAUUCAGCUUCUCAGUGCCUCCCUGCAUGCCUGGGGUCUGCAAAGAAACACCCGACCCUUUGGUGCUGUGCACGAAGACAAGUGAGGAACAAGGUGGGAGCACAGUUAACUUGGCACCUUGUCCUUGGCCAUGGCCUGAAGCAAGUGAGGAGGGUGAGGAUGAGGAUGCUCUGGGGCCCUAAGAGAGAUGCUCAGUCCCAGGCUGGCUUUCUCUGACCCCAUGCUGUGGGUUUGGUGGCCACAUGUCUCCCAUUCACUGCUGUGGCAAUAAAUAUACGUGAUCCCAAAUCUCUUGUUCAUAAUCAUCUUGUCUGGAGGCGUUUCUGGACGCUGUUCACACGCUGCAAUAAGGCAGACGGCUGUGGGAUUUGUCUUCCCUCAUUUCCCAACCUGAGGGUGAUGCUUUUACAGGGAGAUGAAGGGGAGGGAACUGGGGGUACCCCAGGAGCAGAGAUCCCAGCUGCACAGCAGAAUUAAUGCCAGGCCUGUGUUUACUCUGGAUCAGAAAGAAGGCAGAUUCUGCCCUUUAGCAAACUGGGAAGAAAGCAUUCACCACGUCCCUAGGAGGCAUCUGCGAGCAAUGGGGAAGCAUUUACACCUCUGAUCACCUCCUGCCUGAGCAAGAAAGGUGGGAGAGUGGAGCUGGUUUAGGACGUGGAGCUCCUGGAUGCCACGGGGAGCCCUUGGUGCAGGAUGUUAGAGACAACCUUCUCCAGUGCAUUUUGCCCACUGCUGCACCUUCCCUGAGACCCUGGAGCCAGGGGGGGCUGGAGCUGCCAGGAGAGACGUCUGUUUCAAGCAGCAG